rnacentral:tRNA from 1 species
AUUCAGAUAGCUUAAAUUAAAGCUAAACAUUGAAAAUGUUUUUAUACAAUUUUAUUGUUCUGAGUA